GAACAGUGUCUUGCACCAACUUCCUCACCUCUUCAGCUUCACUGUCAUCUUCAGAACACGUUUGGCUCAUAAUCAUCCUCGACACAACGUUAUUCGAGAGUCUUAGAAGUUCGCCCCCAACAUCAACAGCCUCACCCGCCUUCCCUUUCUUGAGCAUAAGCCUCAGAAACCUUAUCGUCUCUUGUCUCCUCACAGGAAGUAGCUGACUUAACGUGGAACCCCCCAGAAGUUCAGACAUGCAUAUUUUCUUCAUGAACUUCCAAUAAGGUCCAUAUGGCGCAAAAGAGAAGUCCUGGGAGCCGUAUGUCAGAAAAUCAACUGCAGAACUUUGCGGGCGG
rnacentral:lncRNA from 1 species